rnacentral:rRNA from 1 species
UGGGGAAUAUUGGACAAUGGGCGCAAGCCUGAUCCAGCCAUGCCGCGUGAGUGAUGAAGGCCCUAGGGUUGUAAAGCUCUUUCACCGGUGAAGAUAAUGACGGUAACCGGAGAAGAAGCCCCGACUAACUUCGUGCCAGCAGCCGCGGUAAUACGAAGGGGGCUAGCGUUGUUCGGAUUUACUGGGCGUAAAGCGCACGUAGGCGGACUAUUAAGUCAGGGGUGAAAUCCCGGGGCUCAACCCCGGAACUGCCUUUGAUACUGGUAGUCUUGAGUUCGAGAGAGGUGAGUGGAAUUCCGAGUGUAGAGGUGAAAUUCGUAGAUAUUCGGAGGAACACCAGUGGCGAAGGCGGCUCACUGGCUCGAUACUGACGCUGGGGUGCGAAAGCGUGGGGAGCAAACAGG